rnacentral:misc_RNA from 1 species
AACCAUUCUCACCUGCGGCUAGACCUGCGGAGGGAUCAUUACCGAGUUAUACAACUCAUCAACCCCUGUGAACUUACCUACAACGUUGCUUCGGCGGGAACAGACGGCCCCGUAAAACGGGCCGCCCCCGCCAGAGGACCCCUAACUCUGUUUUUAUAAUGUUUUUCUGAGUAAACAAGCAAAUAAAUUAAAACUUUUAACAAUGGAUCU